AAGCGCGCUCGAACCCCUGGAACUUAUGGGAAAUGUAGUCCGCAGUCAGAAAAGCGGAGGACCGGCCAAUACCGACAGUUUCUGUCCGGUACUGAGCCCGGCGGAGCCCAGGAGACCUCUGGGAGUGCUAGCCAGCCCUAGGAGUGCGCAGGCGCAGACUUUCUGGCUCGCCAUAGUCGUCUUUGUCUGCGGGCCGUCUUCCUCGUGCAUCCACAGGAACUGCACUUGCCUUGUCCUUUAAAACUUCCAGAAGUCCUAUGGCCUCAACCUGAAUUAUGGGAUGCUGCUUUGACCCUCAACAAUAACGUCCAAGUCCUGUGUCACUGUUUAGAAGUUUAAGGUGCCAGUUUAACAAGAUCAACAGAUGUCUGAGAGAGAAAUGUAAAGGAGGUGCUAUCCAGAAAAGGUCUGAGAAAUUUCUAAGUCAAUAGACACAACAUGGAAGACAUGUGAGUUAUGUUUCCUCCUUCUCCAUGAAAAUACAGCUAAGAAGAAAUUCAGAAAACCUGGGUAACAGAAAAGUAUUUCCUCUAAACACAGACACUAAUUUUUUAAGAUUAUAUCUCUGUGUAUGGGGUUCAGUUUAAGGGAAUUUAGAACAUAGUUUAUA